rnacentral:rRNA from 1 species
GACGAACGCUGGCUGCGUGCUUAACACAUGCAAGUCGAACGGAAAGGCCCUGCUUUUGUGGGGUGCUCGAGUGGCGAACGGGUGAGUAACACGUGAGUAACCUGCCCUUGACUUUGGGAUAACUUCAGGAAACUGGGGCUAAUACCGGAUAGGAGCUCCUGCUGCAUGGUGGGGGUUGGAAAGUUUCGGCGGUUGGGGAUGGACUCGCGGCUUAUCAGCUUGUUGGUGGGGUAGUGGCUUACCAAGGCUUUGACGGGUAGCCGGCCUGAGAGGGUGACCGGCCACGUGGGGACUGAGCGCCGGCCCGGACGGGUGCGGGGGGUGGGAGGGGGGGAUAUGGCGCGACGGGCGGACGCGGGCUGCCGCCCGGAGGGGGGCGGGAUGAUGGCCUGCGUGUUCCAACGCGCUGUCGCCGGAGAGGCGGGGUGAGUGAGGUUAUUGGGAAAACAAGCACCGGGUAACUAGGUGCCAGCGGCGUGGGAGCACGGGGAAGAACACCUGUCUGCAC